rnacentral:rRNA from 1 species
GUUGGAUUUUCAUAUGCAUACUCUUUUGAUGGAUUGGCUGAGGAGUUAGUGGAAACUCCAAAGUUAAGCGUGCUGCGCUCAGGGCAAAACCAGGAUGGGUGACCUCCUGGGAAGUCUGGCUAAUCCAUCA